AUACCUUUCUCGGCCUUUUGGCUAAGAUCAAGUGUAGUAUCUGUUCUUAUCAGUUUAAUAUCUGAUACGUGGGUCAUUGACCCGCAUGAUAUUAAAUUUAUUUUUUUAGGGGGAGAGCCCAUGACAGUAGCUUGCUACUGGGGUUCUCAAGCGUCGCCUAUGCGUUGCACUAAAGCAUUGGCCUGGCGCACCCCAC
rfam:Corchorus olitorius cultivar O-4 contig20762, whole genome shotgun sequence.